rnacentral:lncRNA from 1 species
UUACGUAAAUAUGAUACCAUAUCAUCCAAUCAUUAAUAGCAAUGCUUGAUUGGCCAAAAUUUUCAAUAUCAUUAAAUUUGGUACUUAAAUUGAUGGUUAUGAUAGUUGACUGGCGAAAUUAAUCCUUAUGAAAAAAUAGUACUUUUUUUUUUUUGUUAUCAAUCAUAUACUAAUUUUUUAAUCAAUGGUUUAUUACUAGUAUUAUUAUCAUGCAUUAUAAUUUUAAAAUUAUUAAUCUUAUUAUUACAAAAUUUACAAUCAAUUUUACUAUUAUAGUUUCUAUUAGAGGUGCUCAUGGGCCGGGCUGGGCCCAAAAAAAUUUUCAACCCGC